rnacentral:rRNA from 17 species
GUGACGGUAGGUGCAGAGAAAGCGCCGGCUAACUACGUGCCAGCAGCCGCGGUAAUACGUAGGGCGCGAGCGUUGUCCGGAAUUAUUGGGCGUAAAGAGCUUGUAGGCGGUUGGUCGCGUCUGCUGUGAAAGGCCGGGGCUUAACUCCGGUUUUGCAGUGGGUACGGUCUAACUAGAGUGCAGUAGGGGAGACUGGAAUUCCUGGUGUAGCGGUGGAAUGCGCAGAUAUCAGGAGGAACACCAGUGGCGAAGGCGGCUCACUGGCUCGAUACUGACGCUGAGGCACGAAAGUGUGGGGAGCAAACAGGAUUAGAUACCCUGUUAGUCCA